UAGGGAAUCUUCCACAAUGGACGCAAGUCUGAUGGAGCAACGCCGCGUGAGUGAAGAAGGUUUUCGGACCGUAAAGCUCUGUUGUUGGUGAAGAAGGAUAGAGGUAGUAACUGGCCUUUAUUUGACGGUAAUCAACCAGAAAGUCACGGCUAACUACGUGCCAGCAGUCGCGGUAAUACGUAGGUGGCAAGCGUUGUCCGGAUUUAUUGGGCGUAAAGCGAGCGCAGGCGGAAGAAUAAGUCUGAUGUGAAAGCCCUCGGCUUAACCGAGGAAUUGCAUCGGAAACUGUUUUUCUUGAGUGCAGAAGAGGAGAGUAGAACUCCAUGUGUAGCGGUGGAAUGCGUAGAUAUAUGGAAGAAUACCAGUGGCGAAGGCGGCUCUCUGGUCUGCAACUGACGCUGAGGCUCGAAAGCAUGGGUAGCGAACAGGAUUAGAUACCCUGGUAGUCCAUGCCGUAAACGAUGAGUGCUAAGUGUUGGGAGGCUUCCGCCUCUCAGUGCUGCAGCUAACGCAUUAAGCACUCCGCCUGGGGGAGUACGACCGCAAGGUUGAAAC
rnacentral:rRNA from 1 species